rnacentral:rRNA from 1 species
CGCGUAGGCGGCUCACUAAGUCGGAUGUGAAAACUCUGGGCUCAACCCAGAGCCUGCAUCCGAAACUGGUGGGCUAGGGUGCUGGAGGGGAAAGCGGAAUUCCUGGUGUAGCGGUGAAAUGCGUAGAUAUCAGGAGGAACACCGGUGGCGAAGGCGGCUUUCUGGACAGUAACCGACGCUGAGGCGCGAAAGCUAGGGGAGCAAACA